GGCCCCUGGCUCCUGUUACUGAGCUCCUACAACCCUUGUAAUUUCUUGAGUGAUGGGGGUGACAGGAGUGUCUUACACAGAACUCCUAAAUCUCUUGGAAUUUC